GUCUAUGGCCAUACCACCCCGACAUGCCCGAUCUCAUCUGAUCUUGGCAGCUAAAUAGGGCCAGGCCUGUUCAGCACUUGAAUGGGAGAAUUUCCUUCAUUCUUUUGCAGCAGGCA
rnacentral:rRNA from 1 species